ensembl:lncRNA
UUUUAAGAAGGAGGGGACAUAUGUAUACCUAUGACUGAUUCAUGUUGAUGUAUGGCAGAAACCAACACGACAUUGUAAAGCAAUUAUCCUCCAGUUAAAAAUAAAUUUUAAAAGGCAAAAAAUAAAAAACGAAAUAAGAGGAAACAGUAAAGUAUUAAAUCACAUGGGCAAACAGUGCCACAGAUGGCAGCCUGUACUUUUGGCUGGCAGGAAACUCUGGACAAGAGCCCAACUCCAUUAUUUGCUGAGCACCAUUGUUUACCAUGUAAAAGUGUAGGUUUGAAUGUACAGUGCUUGAAAAUCAAUAACUGUUAUAAUAUUUUCUUUUUCUUUUUGGAGAUUCUAUCUUUUUUUUUUUUCCUUAAAACGGAUUUACUUGCCUUCCAGGUUUUUCUUCCACAUGUAUACAUAUUGUUUUAAGGAAAAUGUCUUCUGUUACUUUUAAUUCCAUGUACAGGUGCAAAACCACUGCUGAUAGUGACUGGGGGCAAAAGCCAUAUAAGUCCUGAAUGAAAUAAGACUUUCUAAAAACAUAGUGUCAACUUCUAAAGCCUUUCAGUUACCCAGAUGUUUCUUUUCAUCUUGUCAGGAAUUUCCCUACUCCUUUUCAUUCAUUUAGAAGUCGACUUUCUUUUUCUUAAAGUGUCAACUUUCAAGAUAAAUAAAAAGCUGCUGAUUAUAUUUAGAAUAUUUUUUGUUAUUUUCUGCUAUUACAACAGAUUGGUUUAUUUCUUUGGUUGAAGGAUAAUUGCUUUACAGAAUUUUGUUGUUUUCUGUCAAACCUAAACAUGAAUCAGCCAUAGGUAUACAUAUAUCCCCUCCCUUCUGAACCUCUUUCCCCUUUCCCUCCCCAAAGAAUGGUUUUAAAUUUGUUUUUAAACUGCAAACAUGGAAGUCUUAAGUGACAGCAUGGCUUAAACAAUCUUUUGUUUGAGGGCCUAGGAACUAAAUAUUAUCUAUUACAAUGUUUCUGUGUAAAGAUAUACAUAUUCUAAUUUCUGAAGUAACAACACUUACUAUCCUUGAGCUAUUUGUGAUAUUUUCAUUUGAUUUUAAAAAAAUGUACUUAUUUAUUUAUUUGGCUGUGCUGUCUCUUAAUUGUGACACUUGGGAUCUUUAGUUACAGUGUGUGGGAUCUAGUUCCCUAACCAGGGAUCGGUCCAGGGCCCCUUGCUGAUAUUGGGAUCUCUAAGUCUUAGCCACUGAGCUGCCAGGGAAGUCUCUUCUUCAGUGUUCUUUAAGCUUCUAAGGAUUACUUUGGGCUGAGAAUGAGAGACUGACUUUGAGAAAUACUGCCCGUCCCUCUUCUCAGUAGCAGCUAGAACUGGACAGCCCAGACUCUGGUGAGUUUCAGAUGUUGUGAAGUGAAGUGAAGUGAAGUGAAGUCGCUCAGUCAUGUCUGACUCUUUGCGACCCCAUGGACUGUAGCUUAUCAGGCUCCUCUGUCCAUGAGAUUUUCCAGGCAAGAGUGCUGGAGUGGAUUGCCAUUUCCUUCUCCAGGGGAUCUUCCCAACCCAGGAAUUGAACCUGGGUCUCCUGCAUUGCAGGCAGACGCUUUACCGUUUGAGCCACCAGGGAAGCCUGCCAGGUAAGUAUGGAUGAUAGUAAAGCCUGCCAGGUAAGUAUGGAUGAUAGCAUGGAUGAUAGUAAAGUUCCUUUACAUUCUAACAGUCUAUGAUUCUAGAACUGAGCAUCAGUUUACUCUCAUGAACAGGUUGUUGUGCAGAUUAAAUGAAAUACUUUAUGUAAAUGAUGUGAAAUGCAGUACUCGGGUGCUACCGGUCAUGACUGCAUCAUCCCUGUUCACAGUGGCAACCCCAUGGACUGCAGCCUGACAGACCCUCUGUCCGUGGGAUUUUCCAGGUGAGAAUACUGGCGUGGGUUGCCAUGCCCUCCUCCAGGGGAUCUUUCUCACCCAGGGACUGAACCUGCAUCGCCUGUGUCCUGCAUUGGAGGGCAGAUUCUUUACCACAGCACCACCUGGGAAUCCCAAUUAUGGACUAGAAGGUCUAAAUCUGUCUGCUGGAGACAGGAAAGUUGGCGAGGACUGUCAGUCUACCAUUUCAUCUGUUUAAAACACUUAAUUAAAAUACAGAGUAGUUUGAACUCGGUGACGAGAAAGCUUUUCUUUCACCCUCCCAAUCCUCCUAGCUGUGUCUGCUUUAUUUUCAGAGGCUGUUAACAUGCCUACAGCUACUGCACUGCUGCUGACAGAUUGUUACUCCCCUGAUCACAUGUCUACCAUGACUCCCAGCUGAAAUUCCUAAUGGAAUCUAAGCUUCUAAGUCUGGCAAUUGAGCUGUCCACCAGCUGGCCCCACCCUGUCUUUCUAAUUUUGUCUCAUAUUUCCUGGAGCCCAUGAAUGCCCCUCUGCAGUUAGACUGGCCUCUUUAUUCUUUCCACAAUGAACUUGUAAAUUCUGGCCUUUCACUCUGUGCCCGAAAUAUCUUUCUCUUCUCUCACCCCCAAGUCUAAAUCCUUAAAGGAUAAAGGAAUAGAACCUGGUCUUUAUGUGCGCAGUUCCGGAACCAGACUGCCUAUGUCUGUCAUCUCAGCUCUGCUGUGAAUUGUGUAUGAGAUUUCAAGUACACGACUUACCCUCUCUGUGCCUCCAGAGGUCACAAGAACACCUACAUUCUAGACCCAUUUUGAAACUUAAAAGACAAUUUAUGUAAAGUACUUAGAACAAAGUCUAGCAGGCAGGAUGUGAGCUCCUAUUGCUCAUGCUGCCUUCUUGGACCUGAGCCUUUUCUGACCACCGUGUCACAGCAGUUCAUAUGUUCUAAGUUCUAAGUUCCUAUGUUGUCUCCGCUGCUUGUUUGCCACGUAUUCAUUCAUUCCACACAUGUUGGUUGGAUGCCUGUUACGUGCCACACAGUGUACUCAGUGCUUAAAACAAAGCAAAGGCCUUGUUUUCGUGGAGCUUGUAGUCUAGUUGUGGGGAGACAGGCAGUGGACGAUUAAGAAAGUGAGACGAACGAUAGGUCGGAUGGUAAUAAGUGCAACGAAAAUAAGUUAGGCAAGGGAUUGGGAGUGCGGAGUGCCCAUGGCGGUGUUAUUUUAUAUCAGUUGGUCAAGGAGACUCCUUGAAAAGGUGAUCUGUAAGCAGAGCACAGAAGGAAGGAAGGGAGAACUUAAAUAUCUGGGGGGAAGAACAAUGAGCAGCUGGAGGGAGGAGCAGUAAGAAGGCCGGGACGGAAGCCUCAGAGUGGUGCGGGGAGGGGGCUGCGGACAGGAGCAGAGCUGUAGUGGGGGCCUUGAAAGCCCAAAAGGACUUGGCUUUCUAUGAGAAGAAAAGCAGUUUGUACAUUUGUGGUUUCCCUGCCCAUGAAUACUGUCUCUAUCAAUUAACUCCCAUGGCUUUAGCUUUCCCCCGUCUAUUGUUUUUCACUUUUCCUCAAUGUAA